GGGGAUUGGUGGACGGAAGAGGCUCUGCCUUUGGGCAGCUCGCAGAGAGCGCAGGAGGCGCAGAAAAACAGGGGAGGAUUGACGCGAAAAGGAACGCUGCCUUGGCAGCGUGGCAGAGGUCAGACGGGAGUGAGAGAAGCAGCAAAACUGCAAGCUGCACAGAAAAAUAUAAGAGAUGGACAGCGCAGGGAGAGACUGGCGGGGAAGCACAGCAAUACAAAAGAAAAGCUCCAGAGAGCAAGGCAGCAAGAAAAUUAGAGGCUUCACUCCAUUCCUCUC
rnacentral:lncRNA from 1 species